rnacentral:lncRNA from 10 species
CUCUGGCAGGAGAUUACAGUUUAUCUGGGAGGUAUGUAUUCAGUUAACAAGCCUAUUCUAAAACUCCUUUUCAGAAAGUUUGCUUACAUCAAAAUUACUGAGAUAACAUAUGCUCCUGUUUCAAGUAAGAUGGAGUAAAUGCAUCCCACUCUAUCUUUCCUACUUAUUGCAACUAUAAAAUGUGCACAGAAUGCAUUAUGCAGCCAUUUGACAACAGUGAAAAGCAAACAAUAGUUGGCAGACUCAGGAAGAAGAUGAGUAUUUGAAGUACUGCCAUAUCAUAGACUAAGUAGCAGUGAAAAGGAAGAAAAAAAGAAGACAGUGCCUACUUUCUGAGACAUUUCCAAAUAUCAGUGUGAAAAAGACUACCAGAGGUCAGCAGAACAGAAGAGUUUCUUCCUGCUGAAGGAUUCAUUAUAGAAGAGAAUAAAUGAUUAUCAAGAGGACUGAAAGCAAACUGUCUAUUCUACUGGUUGCCGAGUAUCAAAUAUCAUGGAUGGUCUGGCUUUUGGGAAGGUAGAAAUCUUUCCACAAAGGAGUUUCCAAUAGCUUUCUGUGCUUAUUACGAUGCUAAACAUUGACCCAAAGAAAAUAAGCACUCACUAAAAUUUUACUCUUUUAAAGUAAUCUAAGCAUUUUGUUGCUUCUUGUUAAUUAAAUGUCUUAUAUCCAUGCAUUGUGUUUGCUUGUUUUCUAUAGCCUACUAUUUAUACAUUUAUACUCAUUCCAAUGGACCCAGCUUCUUUGGAUUCACAUUUUACACAGUUUGAUACCGU